GCUGAUGCAGAUGUAUAUAAAUAUCAGCUAUGUUGAAACUUUCAUUAAAGGCUCCCACAUAAUAUAGGGGAAAAAAGGAAAGUUGCUGCAAUAUUGCAACAGAAAAGUAACAAUUAUUGCAGUUUGAUCUUUGAAUCUCUCCACCUUCAAUCAUUCUUAUCAGAAUACAACAUGAAGCAGUAUUUCAGCAGCCAAUUAAUAAUUUUCAUCUUCUGUUGUAUUGGAGUGAUACUGUCUGGAGAAAUUUGGGAAGGGAAUCAUGAAAAUUCUGACAAGAACUUACUAUCAUUGAUCACCAGAGCUGCAGUAGCAACACGAGACAAUGCACUUAUGGCACCACCAAGUGGAUAUCAAGGUCGAAUGCCAUCAUAUUAUAUACGAACCCAGAGAGGACUCAAAAGAGAACCAAAUUGGAUAUGGAUGCCAUCCCAUGGUUAUGUUCCUGUCCCAGAGCCUUCCAAUGCUAGAAGUUCUGAAAAUCGUGGAAGUACCAUUCUGAGAUAUGGUUAAAUAUGAAAUCGUCUUGGAAUAACACGAAUCUUUAAGUAACUGCCAACAAUGGAUAACUCUGUAUUUCUCUUGUUUCUUACAAUGACACAUACUUUUUGGAUUUAACAUAGAAAUAAAUUUACAAUAUCUUUAAA